GGAUUAGGCAUGCAAGUCGAACGAGGAUAUAUCCUUCGGGAUAUAAGCCGAGUGGCGCAAGGGUGAGUAAUGCAUAGAUCACGUGCCUCCAGGAUAAGGACAACUUUGUGAAAACGGAGCUAAUACUUACUAACACAGAAGAAAAUAAUUUUCUUUUAUCAAAUGGAGGGUAGCAAUAUCUUUCGCCUAAAGAGGGGUUUAUGUCCUAUCAGCUUGUUGGUGGGGUAAUGGCCUACCAAGGCAAAGACGGGUAGCCGGCCUUAGAGGGUGGUCGGCCACACUGGGACUGAGACACUGCCCAGACUUCUACGGAAGGCUGCAGUCGAGAAUCUUUCGCAAUGCCCGAAAGG
rnacentral:rRNA from 1 species